ACAAAUCUGUUGAUCUACCUGUGUUUCAAUUACUAAUGUCUACAUGUGUCAUCAAUAAGUGAAUCACUGUAGUGAACAGUAAAAUAAUAUAGUACAAUCUAGUGAUAACCAGUAGACAGCAGAUUGGGGUAAACAUUUCCUUUAUUUGUUAAUAGCUGAAAACAGCAUAAUGACAUUGGCUUUUCAGCACCUUGGCCAGUGGCAAUAGUGCUGCGAUUUAAUUGGCUGUUAGUGAGUGCCAGCUAUCCACGAUUUGCCAACAUGUAGCAGCUGGGGCUUGAACCACCAACCUUGUGGCUCCCAGCUCACCCUCUCUACUCCAUGUGCCAGUUACAUUUCAAACCUAUCAAAGAGUUAAUUUAACUCUACUAAGUGUCGCAAAUGAAUCUGAUCUUCACACUGGAUAAUGACUCCAGCUCUUUCGUACAAUUGACUCUGUAAGAGUUGAAUCAACUUUAUGCAGUGUGAUUUCAACUCUGUACUUCCACACUUUUGUCUAACACCGGAAAAUGAACUUUUAGGAAUGCUGCGGUGCACUCUCUAAAUAAAUGAAGGCAACUUGAUGCAUUUUCCUGAAGCCCCAACGUGGAAACGAAUGAAAAGUCUAUUGAGUAGCUGCUGACGGGAGUCUGAAGAGCAGCAGCUCAACAGAGCCGGGGCAGGAAAGCUUUUCUACCCUGGAAAUUCAAUAAGCAUUUCAUGUUAAAGAAAGAGAAGGGAGAACGCAAUACAACUGUGCGGUGCCACAAACUCCUUUCAGCGUCCAAAGACUCCAACCUGAAGAAGCAUCUUAAAGUGUGCGGUGCUGGUUGGCUGUUGGCGAGGAGGCGUGGCCACUGAAGACCUGGAGACUAAUCGGCUAACGAGCUGGUGGACUAUAUAAACCAGCCUGGUUGCUGCAGAAAAGAAGAGAAAGCAGAGAGAGAAGCCGUGUGUUUGGCCUGUCAAAGACGUUUUGUUGUGGUCGGUUGUGCGCAGCUUCAUUGGACGACAUCUGGGAAGAAGAAGAAGGCGCUCCACACGCCUGCUGAGGGAACAUCUCUGCUGCGGAUGUGGGGGUCGACGUCUUUUCUCACCAGCAUCUAUCAUGCUAAAGUCCCUUUUUCCUCCUUUCCUUCGAUUGAUAUGGUUAUUUUAAGCCAGGGAGGCCAAUGAUCGAUCGCAAAGCAGUGCCAGUAGAUCGCCGACCAUCAAUCCUUGCUCACUAAAGGACGCAUUUAAUUUCAUUCAUAAGAAAGAUAAUGAACAAGAAUGUAUGGAAUGGCUCAAUGUUUUCUUCAUAUUAUUUGCUUUUGUUGAGGGGAUUGCCGUGACACGGGUGGCCCGGCUCUUCCUAAAUCUUUAUUAUUUGGCAACUAACAUUCAUACAAUAUCAUAAUGGGUUCAUGCCCCUGAGACGGAAUGGUGCAUCUUGGAGGAUCAAUCAUGCUGUUCAAGCUUUCUUCCUGCAUUGGUUUACGCACCCUUCACUUUGGGACUGAUCUCUAAACUUUACAACCAGAUCCUAAUUACAAUAU
ensembl:lncRNA